rnacentral:rRNA from 1 species
CAGCCGCCGCGAUAAUACCAGCACCUCGAGUGGUCAGGACGUUUAUUGGGCCUAAAGCAUCCGUAGCCGGCUCUGCAAGUCUUCGGUCAAAUCCACCUGCUCAACAGAUGGGCUGCUGGAGAUACUACAGAGCUAGGGAGUGGGAGAGGCAGACGGUAUUCAGUGGGUAGGGGUAAAAUCCUCUGAUCCAUUGAGGACCACCAGUGGCGAAGGCGGUCUGCCAGAACACGUUCGACGGUGAGGGAUGAAAGCUGGGGGAGCAAACCGGAUUAGAUACCCGGGUAGUCCCAGCGGUAAACGAUGCAAACUCGGUGAUGCAUUGGCUUAUGGCCAAUGCAGUGCCGCAGGGAAGCCGUUAAGUUUGCCGCCUGGGAAGUACGGACGCAAGUCUGAAACUUAAAGGAAUUGGCGGG